ensembl:lncRNA
AGAGAGAGACAGAAAGAGAGUGAGAGAGAGAGAGAGCAGUAGAGGAACUCUCGUCUCCAGCCAGGCGAAACCAGAAGCACCUACUCCUCUGUCUCCCGCCACAUCCAUAAUAUUUAAAUGUUUAUUUGUAAAGGUAUUCCUUUUCUCAUUUGGAGCCUGUCAAGCACACACUCCAUCCUGCUGUUUGCAUUCCAGCGUGGUCUAUUUGCAGCGCGGCUCUGUGCUCCGUGUGUGUGUGUGUGUGUGCUCUGUGCCCCUCUAGGCAGUAGGAAUGCACAUCUGGGCGCAAGGGGCCUCUCCUAUGGAAGCAAGCCCCAGCUCAGGCGUGGAGACUCUUCCUUUCUCAAACUAGAUAGCUGGAAGAAUGGGAUCAAAUGUACAAAGCCCUGCACUACCGUCUGGACUAGCGUCUAGGCUAGCGUCUGCACUAGCGUCUGCCCUAGCGUCUGGACUAGCAUCUGCACAGUAUCUGCACGGUGUUUGCCAUAGCGUCUGCACAGUGUUUGCACUACCGUCUGGCCUAGCGUCUAGGCUAGCGUCUGCACAGUGUUUGCACUACCGUCUGCCCUAGCGUCUAGGCUAGCGUCUGCAGUAUCUGCACAGCGUCUGCACAGUGUUUGCUCUAGCGUCUAGGCUAGCGUCUGCACAGUGUUUGCACAGCGCCUGCACAGCAACACAGUGGUGACCAUUCUAAAAUGCUCUACAGAAAGUGCUGACUACCCUGGACCGGGAGGCACAGUGUGUUUUCUGGGUAAUCUAACUGCUACAGGGACACACACACAGACACAGACACACAGACACACAGACAGACAAACAGCAUGUCAGCAGACCCAACUUGCUAAGAGCAGAAACAAGUUGAUUCAGGAAACUUAAGAAUUUGUUGAUUUUUUAAUUACUGCUUUCAAUGCCUUCACAAAGUGCAGCCUCUAUGUCACUCAACCAGCCUUCCCACAGGACUGAAAAAAGGGUUGAUUAAAAUAAUCACAUUUAAAAAACCACACCUACAAAAUAUGAGCAGUCUAUGCUGCAUUAUUACCUAAGGCCAACUUGAAACCAAGACCAACAUUGCUGAGGCCUUUUGAAGUGUGCCAGUAAUUAGCAUACUUCUUAAAUUGGACUGUAAUCCACAUACAUACCGGCCUCUACCUCAAACUUGGAUUGCAUUAGUAGUUAUAUUUAUAUUAUAUUUAUAUUAUAUUAUUUAUUAUUUAUAUUAGUAGUUGUAUUUCAGCUACUCCAUCGGCAUUAUCUUUCUGUUGUUGUUGUUGUUGUUAUUUUAGCCUUGCUAUUAUCUUGUCUUCCAGCUUUUAAUUCAUACAUUUACUGUUCUUCACUAUGUUUGUGACACCAUUUGGGUAGUCACCCCUGACAAAAACACAACAGCAGGAACCUACAAACAAACAAACAAACAAACAAACAAACAAAGAAGCCUAUAUUAUGGAUCCAUAUAUUAAAGAAGCCUAUAUUAUGGAUCCAUAUAUUAGCUAAAGGUUCUGUUCAACACACCACAAGGGUCUCAAUAUCCAGUUUGUCUUCACCAUACCUCUGAACACAAACGAACAUACUACUACAACAAACCAAGCAACUCACUAAUGUUUUUAUCUUAAGUCAUCAAUAUGGCUUUCUAUGUGCAAAAGGCUAAGCAAGGCAAUGGCAGAUUACUACAAUUGCGAGGAAAACAUAUAUUAUGUGUGACUUCAUGGGCUAGUUUAAUAUUUUCAGAUGCAAUAACUUAAAGUUAUCAUCGUUUUCUUUAAUAAUGGCAAACAAAUCACUGAUAUCACAUUAAUUAGUUAUGGAGUCUACACUUCCCCCUUAAAAUUAAUAUCUUUCUUCAUACCUAUAGCUUUGUUAGUAUACUGCUGGUACAAUUGAGAUAUUUUAAAUCACAACUGUUCUUCAUAUAUACAUAUACAUAUUUACAUAACAAGGUGGUGACUUCUACGCUUUAAUCCAAUCACAGGGUCUUUAAAUCCAAUAAAUAGCUAGUGCUUCCUAGCACACCGACCAACACAAGAUAAAUGACUUUGUGUCGCAAGGCAAAGCGUUACGAAAGUAGACUUUUACAAAACUGUCUUCUAACUUUCAAGAUGCCAGUGUAUGUCUAGUUUCAUAAGUAGAUACUGUAGUUUUAGGCUAUCGUUCCAAAGCCACAGGUAGGCUAAGACAGAGUAGAAAUAAAACGGAAAAUAAUUGAACCAACGAAUGGGGUCGAUAGAAAACGGUUUUGGUCUUUUCCAUUUGUGAUUAUUAAUUGUGUCAGCCGGCCUAAUGAACCGAGCCGCUACGGUAACACAAAUACAAACACGUUCCAAAGUUAUCAGUGAAAGCGCGAGCUCAGUUCAGCUCUGUGCGUGUCGGACUGAGGUCUCGAGGGACCGUGAAACUUUUCCACACAUUAACGAGACCGCACCAGAGACCACCCGACCCGAAAACUCGAAAUAUAUCGUUUUCAAAAACAUAUAAUUCAAAACACACGUCUUACCUUAUCUCUCAACGGAGGUUAAACGGGCAUUUUUAUACGGUCAGUCUCCAUGGCCACAGUUGGCUCAAGUUUAAGCUCGUAGUAAGAUGAAUAGAACUGAGAAUCCUAGGCGAAGUCCCAAACGCGCUCCCAUUGGAUGGAUGAGCUGUCAGUUGUAUAGGAGCUGGACUGGGCGUUUCCUGUAGCGGAUGUUGUCGUAAAAAGUGGUGCCGC